UUCUAGCUCCUCUUCUCAUUAGUGAUGUAAUUCCCUCAGGAAUCUCCUCAUAAAGAAAGACAUCUGUUUCCAUUUUCUUCUUAGAGGAACAGGAUCUCUAUACAUCAUUGAAUAGAUUAGUGUCAUGAGUGUUAGCACUUUCCAUGAAGCACAAUCCCAAAGACCAUGAAAAAUUGAGAUCCGCAGAGGAGAGGAUGGAAAGUGUUUCCCCCACACCACAGGGUGUUUUACUGCUGCUGCUGCUGUUUAAGUUGCAUCUUUUCAACAAAGUUGACUCUCUCCCUACAAAGGAAAGUUUGUAUCAGCUACUGAGAAGACUUGGACUGGAACUUACUUCACCAGAUCUCAUGGUUCUUGGGCCUUCAGACUCAGGUUGGAACUAUGCUAUCAGCUUUCCUGGAUCUCCAGCUUGCUGACUACACAAUCUAGGACUUCUCAGCCUUUGUAAUUGUGAGGAACAAAUUGUUCUACAGAAAAUGAAGGAAACUCCAAAUGUUCAAGAGACUGGGGAUGAUAUAUGAAAGCUUUCACCAUUAGCUCCUGCACAUACUUAUAUACUGAAUAGGACCAUGAAAAAGUGCUUAAGCUCAAACAGGUUAUUGGUUUGUCUUUUCAUCCACAGCAGAGCUCAAAAUGAGCACAGCUGCCCCACAGAGUGAGUGCUAUAAGCAAUGUAGCAGUUCAUCUGCUUCAAGAUCUUCUUCCCACUACCAGGUGUGUUACUCAACAUGAGGCCAAAAGUGUGGGCUAUUUUCACUGUGAAAAGACAGCAGUGAAAUCUGAAAUAUUAGCAUGUGGUGUGAAUAUAAGUCAUUCCUCACUAUGGUUGCAUCCAGGUCUCCUCUGCAUGAUGUGCCUUUUUCAGGCUCAGAAGAAAUGGGUCAUUUUUUUUUCUUCCUUUAAAUCCCUUUUGUGGAUUAAAUUUUUCAAAUGCAAAAUCUGUUUAAGGCCAAAGUAAAUCUACUAACUUCUGUUGCUUAGCAUUCCAAAACAUGGCCCAUGGCAUGGAUAAUAAAGAGUAAUUAGAAUAUGUAUUAAUAAAACAGAGCAGUGAAAAUUGGAGUUAUUUCAAUUUACAAAAUUGCUACUUUCAAAUAUUUAUCCUGAAUUUGCCAUGAUGUUCAAAAGAAUGGGAUAUUGCAGUACCAGGCUAUAUCUAUGAACCCUAAUUUUGCAUUUUUACAAUCUACUUGCUACCAACUUAUAAUAUGAUUGUGUGCUUCUAACAAAUAAUAUUGAUAAAAUUGUGACACGAAAGCUUUUCCUACAUGAAGAUUAUAUGUCUGAGCAAAUAAUAAAAAAUUGAAUCAAUCAUUUCAGGUGUCAAAAUAUUUUUCAGUUUCAAUAUUUUGAAACAUUCCUCAUUUUUUAGAUGUUGUUGGACACUUUAUAUUUG
rnacentral:lncRNA from 1 species